AUUGAACGCUGGCGGCAUGCUUUACACAUGCAAGUCGAACGGUAACAGGCCGCAAGGUGCUGACGAGUGGCGUACGGGUGAGUAAUGCAUCGGAACGUGCCCAGUCGUGGGGGAUAACGCAGCGAAAGCUGCGCUAAUACCGCAUACGAUCUAUGGAUGAAAGCGGGGGACCGUAAGGCCUCGCGCGAUUGGAGCGGCCGAUGUCAGAUUCGGUAGUUGGUGGGGUAAAGGCUCACCAAGCCGACGAUCUGUAGCUGGGCUGAGAGGACGACCAGCCACACUGGGACUGAGACACGGCCCAGACUCCUACGGGAGGCAGCAGUGGGGAAUUUUGGACAAUGGGCGCAAGCCUGAUCCAGCAAUGCCGCGUGCAGGAAGAAGGCCUUCGGGUUGUAAACUGCUUUUGUACGGAACGAAAAGGCUCUGGUUAAUACCUGGGGCUCAUGACGGUACCGUAAGAAUAAGCACCGGCUAACUACGUGCCAGCCGCCGCGGUAAUAC
rnacentral:rRNA from 1 species